ACAUCACCAUCAUCAUCCUGACUAGUCUUUCGGGAGGAUACGCCUCACUCUGGAAGACAACCAAAAACUCUUCCAGUGUUUGAUAAAAUAAAGAAUUCAAACCCUCGGAGAGCAACACUUCCGAGGGUUUUUU
rfam:Photobacterium profundum SS9